AGUAUCUAGAUUAGUGUUUGAUUGCCAUGGGAUAAAAACCUUGGGGAGCAGCAUCUUUGGAAUUCUGCCUGCCACAUCUUUGGUUCUGGUCACUUUAAUAUUUCUACACAAGGUCAUGAUCAUCAGUGCAAGUUUCUAAUAUAUGAGAGACUAGAGGGUUAAACAGAGGUGUUGCACCUAAAGAAGUAAAUAUAAAUGAGACAAUGGAAGACCCAGCCCCUAGUGUAACAUCUCAAACAUCGAUGUAUUUGUGCCCUCGGAGAGCCCAGGAGAGGCAAAAGAUUGAUCCACCAAGAGAGGAAAUCUGAUCUGAUGAGAAAACUGAUGCUCAGCACGAGCUGGGAUCCAAGUCCACCUAUAUCUGACAGUUACGUGCUGCUAUGCUGCCCCUGAAUGUCUCUACGCUAGAUGCCUUACAUAUAUCAUUUGAUGCUCACAACAACUCUUUGAGCAGAGGAUACUGGAGGAAGAGGCUGAGGUGUUCCCAGGUCCGCUAUGGAAGAAGGGAUCAUCAUAGCCAACUUGGCAAUAAGGCCAUAGCAAUGGAGAAGACAGUGUUCACACCUACAUCUAAGUUUUCUGAUAACUUCCAAUGCAAAUGAAGUGAAAAUAGGAAAGAGAGACUACAUCUAUGAAAGGGAAUGAGGAAAGAGGAGGCCUAAACAGUAGCCCCUGUCUGGGAAGAACUAAAGACAGACCUCAAUGAAAUGUAUCAAAGAAGUCCUUACUGCAUGUUUGUGAAGCCUCUAGAAGAUACUAGUGUGUGUCCUAAUGAAGCAUCAUCC
rnacentral:lncRNA from 1 species